CACGCCGCUGGAGCUGAAAAUAGCCUCCAUUCUUGGGCCCGCAAGCAUCUACGGCAUAGUGCCAGAGAAUGAGGGGGACACAGACCAGGCGGACGCCACAGCAGAGACCGUCACUCUACAGAUGGAGGCAGUGGGUGAGGAGAUCCCCGGUACAUCCACAGAGGAGAUGGUCAGACCCACCACGAGUGCGCCCCGGGCGCACAGGCACAGCUGGAGGUGGCCGCGUGCUGACAGAUGCGGUCCUCCAAACACAAAGGGACACCAUCGACGCUGUGAAGGAAAUUCGUGAUGAAUUACAUCAAAUCCGUCAUGUAAUUAGCGGAAUGUGUGCUGUACUGUCUGAAAUUUCCACGUCAUUAAAAGAACUU